GCGGACGGGUGAGUAAUACCUAGGAAUCUGCCUGAUAGUGGGGGAUAACGUUCGGAAACGGACGCUAAUACCGCAUACGUCCUACGGGAGAAAGCAGGGGACCUUCGGGCCUUGCGCUAUCAGAUGAGCCUAGGUCGGAUUAACUAGUUGGUGAGGUAAUGGCUCACCAAGGCUACGAUCCGUAACUGGUCUGAGAGGAUGAUCAGUCACACUGGAACUGAGACACGGUCCAGACUCCUACGGGAGGCAGCAGUGGGGAAUAUUGGACAAUGGGCGAAAGCCUGAUCCAGCCAUGCCGCGUGUGUGAAGAAGGUCUUCGGAUUGUAAAGCACUUUAAGUUGGGAGGAAGGGUAUUAACCUAAUACGUUAGUACUUUGACGUUACCGACAGAAUAAGCACCGGCUAACUCUGUGCCAGCAGCCGCGGUAAUACAGAGGGUGCAAGCGUUAAUCGGAAUUACUGGGCGUAAAGCGCGCGUAGGUGGUUUGUUAAGUUGAAUGUAAAAUCCCCGGGCUCAACCUGGGAACUGCAUCCAAAACUGGCAAGCUAG
rnacentral:rRNA from 1 species